rnacentral:rRNA from 1 species
GUAAGGUGAUAUGAACCGUUAUAACCGGCGAUACCCGAAUGGGGAAACCCAGUGUGAUUCGUCACACUAUCAUUAACUGAAUCCAUAGGUUAAUGAGGCGAACCGGGGGAACUGAAACAUCUAAGUACCCCGAGGAAAAGAAAUCAACCGAGAUUCCCCCAGUAGCGGCGAGCGAACGGGGAGGAGCCCAGAGCCUGAAUCAGCAUGUGUGUUAGUGGAAGCGUCUGGAAAGGCGCGCGAUACAGGGUGACAGCCCCGUACACAAAAGCGCAUGUGCUGUGAGCUCGAUGAGUAGGGCGGGACACGUGGUAUCCUGUCUGAAUAUGGGGGGACCAUCCUCCAAGGCUAAAUACUCCUGACUGACCGAUAGUGAACCAGUACCGUGAGGGAAAGGCGAAAAGAACCCCGGCGAGGGGAGUGAAAAAGAACCUGAAACCGUGUACGUACAAGCAGUGGGAGC